rnacentral:rRNA from 1 species
UGAGGAAUAUUGGUCAAUGGGUGCAAGCCUGAACCAGCCAUCCCGCGUGAAGGACGACUGCCCUCUGGGUUGUAAACUUCUUUUGUAUAGGGAUAAACCUACCCUCGUGAGGGUAGCUGACGGUACUAUACGAAUAAGCACCGGCUAACUCCGUGCCAGCAGCCGCGGUAAUACGGAGGGUGCAAGCGUUAUCCGGAUUUAUUGGGUUUAAAGGGUCCGUAGGCGGACUUAUAAGUCAGUGGUGAAAGCCUGUCGCUUAACGAUAGAACUGCCAUUGAUACUGUAAGUCUUGAGUAUAUUUGAAGUAGCUGGAAUAAGUAGUGUAGCGGUGAAAUGCAUAGAUAUUACUUAGAACACCAAUUGCGAAGGCAGGUUACCAAGAUAUAACUGACGCUGAGGGACGAAAGCGUGGG